UUCUCAAUUUGACAACAGACGUCAAGAACAAAAGUUUGACAAUAAAUAGUAUGCAUGCGUGUGUGCGUCAAAUACAUGGUAUGUAGUGUGUGUAAUGUUUUCUUUAUUGAUUUAAAGUAUCUUUUAUGCAUUAUUUAUAAAAAAUAUUAGCAUUGGUCACUUCUCUUCUAUAUUCUCUAUAAGUUUGGAAAAUUUCAUACUCCUCCGUCCGUGCAAUUUUCGUAGAAAGGGAUACAAAGUUUUUCCUUCACGUAUUAAUAUAUAGAUGUAGCGUAAGAAGCCCAACCGACGGCGACAUAUAUCAUCAGAUUAGAUUACUCGUCUAUCUUUGUCGGUAAUAAAAUAAACAUAUAUGCCAGAAUACCAAGGGGAGAUUCAUACAAGAGUGAUGCGACAAAAUGUAAAUUCUUGAGAUGCAACUGGAAAUUGGAAAAGUUUCAUUGCAUUGUUUGUGUUCGCUCUUUUAUGUAGAAUCAAUGUAUCGACAAUGCGCCAAACGGAUAACAAAAUUUUACAACCAAAUAACGGCAUUCAUGUAAGAAUUCGUUUAUUUUCUAAUGGUUUUUCUUGUAUGCCAAUUGUUUUAUUGUUAGUUUGCAUUUGAACUAUUUUAAUAUAAAUGUGCAAAUAAUAA